CUACAACUGGAGUGCAAUACAACUUAGGCCUUUAUCAUCUCUCUUACAGUAUCUUCAUUUUGGCUUUCCCAAAAACUUAACGCUUAUACGGAACUCCUGAGAUGGGCCAGGCCAUGCAUGUUACUUCUUAUCUAAGAAUGUCUCAGAUGUUUGGAGAGAUAACCACAGCUAGUGGGCACAUGGCCACAAUUUCCUCCAUAAUGAGUCUCCAAGCAUUAUCUGAUCAGAUUGAUGCUUUGGAGGAUCUCUGAGCAUUUCUGAAGAACUAAAGAAUUAUUCCUCACAGCAGCCCGUAAGGUAGUGUUUGGUUCAGAAGGUGCUGUGAGGCCUCCAGAUGCCCUGAAAGCCCCCUCUGGUUCAACCUGGGGCUGGAGGAAGGCAGUCUUUAGCGGAGAGGAGAUCCAGGGAGGGGAGAACACCUGUUCCCAGCGCUGAAGCAUUCCGAUGGUUCUUUUAAGCAGUAGUGUAUCUUAUUUUCAAGGCAGUCCGAAGUGAAUGGCAAGCUAAAGUCUUGUUUUAAGAAACUGCUUAGUCUACCACUGAAGAAUAUACUCAGAUACUAUUUUCAUUUCUGUAUAGGGGUUUCCUCAAAAGCAAAAGACAAAAAUCUGGGAGCCUGGGGAAUUGGCCAGCUUAUUCACAUUCAGUACACUGAUUCUUUCUUUGAUGUAACUUAGCUAUACUAGUGAAGUUGUUGUCUAUUUUUAAAGUGGCUGUUAAAAAAAAAAAAAAAAACACACACAAAAAAAAAACAAAAAAAAAAAACAAAAAAAGUUUGGGUAAACCCCUGCUAUAAAGUCAUGUAUCUUUGAAAAGUAACAUAUCUAUACUUCAUUUUCAAAUAUAUGUGUUUCAGUACUGUAAACUGUACAGAUAGCCGCUUGUAUUUUGUGUGUUUAGACACAAGGAGACAAUCAUGUCUGAGCAUCUAUGGAGAUUAAUGGUUUGUACACAACGGUGUGGUUCUGCGAGUUAAAUCCGGAGCAAUAAAUCCUAGCUUUAAAUAUUAUUUUGCUAGUUGUUUAGCAGCAGCAGCAACAGCAGCACUGUUUUACCAUGCAUCCUUCCAUAGAGACUUGAUGCCAAGUUUUGGAAGAUAAAAAGAUUGUGACGCAUGUAGCAAUUACCUUCCAUCAUGGUGUUGUGAGAGGGGAAGACAUAAAAUGUACGAUUAAUCUUUCACGCACUAUAUUAGAGUAGUGGUUAAUGCACUUGCCUUGCUUCCGAAGGAGCUUUACAUAGGGGUAUCCAUCCAAAAAUGCUGUAUGGUGUUUGACCUACUUUUCACUGAGUUCUAAGGCGAAGUGCCCAGCCUAUGUGGAUGUGCAUAAAGCUUGUUCUAGGAUGGAAAAUGAGGUGAGCAUGAGCCCUUAGUAUAAAUAAGGACUCGGCUUCAUUGCCCUCCGUGUACGGGUUCUUACAUAAAGUUUUUGGUCAGUGGAGUAAAUGUUUUGUAAAGCUGAAUGCAGUAUUUUUGGUCCAAGAGGAGCUCUUCACGGUUAAGUUUUGACCACUGGACCGGUUUGGGUCUCGCUUGCAGUUGUAUUUAUUUGAGAACCUGAAUAUUUUUGAAGUAUAAAACUGAAUUUAAAAAUACUUCAAUAACAAAGACCUCCCUACGUGGUCCUUGUUCCACUCUUCUCAGCUUUGCUGAACCACUGCUCCCUUAGGCCCUGAGCAGAGUGCUGUGCUGCUCUCCUUCCUGCUCUGUCUGUGUGGAGGAAAUAGCUGGGAAAAAUAAGGAGGAUACUGAAACUUAGCGAUACUUAAUACUGGUUGAUCAUCACUUCUUAUUGCUCGGCCAUACCAUUCAUGAGUGAAAAGGCCAUCCUGUCAAAGUAAAUGAAUGCUGUUGUGCCACAUACUUGAUAGAUUUAUCGUUUUAUACAAAGUAAGACUGCCAGUAGUUUCACAGAACAGGUGCUGGGCAUGGAAAAAACUGAUCAGUGGUGCACAGCCCACCCAAAUCUUCUCUCAUUUCAGCUGUUUCUUCAUGAAUGUGCUCAGUGCUCCAGCCUGUGGUCCCCAGUCACCCUUAUGAGGUGGAUCGUGUGGGAUGGUGGGGAAUGUGGCAGUGUGGGUCCUGUGUGGCUGAGGGGAUGCUGGCUUUGGCAGAGGAGGGGGCUCUUGGGAGCCAAGGUCCUCCAGGAGGAGCCUCCUGAGAUUACCUGCGUGUGUCGGCUGGGCUGGGCAUGGGUGGGUCAUUGUAUCUGGAGGAGCAUGGAUGGAUGAAGGGUGGACCACAGGCCUAUGUCUUUGCGUGCAUGACUUUGGAAAUGGAGUGUUACACUCAAAGUGCUUCUGUCACAGUGCCCCUCUUUUUGUUUAUAAGGGGUCAUCAGUUGGAUAAGCAUACAAUGAGCUUUACGUCUGUUCUUAUGUCAACUGUGUACGGAUUUCUCUUUGUGUUUGAGACUUUUUGGUUAGGGCCUCUGUUGUUGACCAAUUGACUAACACAAGCUCUGUAAGGUCUUCUCUACUAAAAUGCUGAUUGAUUUAUCAACUGAAGCCUUAUUUGCACAUCUGGCUGGUAAGCUUGCCUUGCUUUUUGGAAAAUUGUGAUUGUUCUUAAAGAAGUAGAGACAAGAUUAAAUUCAGGCUGCAUUAGGUGUACAAAGAAUAUUCAUAGCGAUGUACUUACUGUCUAAUACCCUAAUGUUGCAUGUCUUGAUGUGCUUUCUUUUUUUUGUUUUGUCGUUUUCUUUUAAAGAACUGAUGGAUCUGUAUAUUGUAAUUGUGGUGUUUUACAUGUCAAUUCAAAAUUGUUAAAAAACAAACAAGCAAACCUGUUAAUUACUGAAAAAGAACAAGAGUUGAUUUUUCUUUGGUUUCCCCAUGUGGCUUUCAUUUUGGAUAUUGUUCCUUUACACCAUUGCGGUUUUAGACUUGGGGAAAACAGUAUUUCUGAGAUGUGGUACGCAUAGAGAUUUUGGUUUGGGAUGUUUGAAGAAGGAAAUCCCUUUGCUGGCCUUCCUCCUCCCCUGUUGUAUACAUAUUUGUAAAAUGGUUUAUUUUUUUCUUCAAGUUCUAAUGACCUAAUUUGUGCUUUUCUCAAAGUCCAAAAAUAUUUUCCAGUAUGAAAAUCUGUAUUCCUCUAUGUCUUUCAUUCACACGGUGCAAAAAAAAAAGUUAGAAAUUGUAAAAGAAAAGCAGAACACAAUUUCACAGUCUUCUAGGUAUGAGCACUAAGCCUAAUGGAAGCAUUGUUGGCAUACCCCAGAUAAAUGUAGGAAAAAUGGUAAGGCUGAACGGGAGGCAUACGUACCCAUUCUGUAAAUUAAUAACAGACCCCCCCUAAAAGGGAAAUGCUCUCUUUUGUGCAGAACCCCUGGUAUGUAAGUCAUGCAAUUAAUGUUAAAGCAUAUCAAGUCUUUAAAUGGGCUAUAUCUGUAAUCAAAUAAUGAAGAAAGAAAGUAGUUAAAUGAACAUACCAUUCAGGGUCGAAUACACUCAGCAAAAAGCAGUAGUGGGUCUUUGAUCAUGGUUAGAUGCAUAGUGAUAUCAAACAGUGGAUUCUCAUGUAACAGCUAAAUGUUUCAGAUUUUGUUUUUAUUAAAUUUGGCAGUUUCACGCUGAGCUCUACUGUACUCUUAGUGAAUAAAAGACAGCUCCUAUGUUAGAAAGUACUCCAUUUUCACAAUUGCAGGGAACUAGGAGGUUUUUUUUCAGAAACACGAGCCACAGAAAUGUACUCCUUUCACAGUGUUCUCCUAUUUCUGAACUGUGCAGUUAUCUAUUAAAUUUUCUAAUAGAUAUUUGUGUAAGGUGUAUGUAUGCUUGUGCAAUUAUGGAAAAAAAACAGUUUUGGAAAACGGUGUAUUUAUGAAAAAAAAUCACUUAUGGGGCAUGUACAAAACUGUAUAAAAACAUUCAAUUUGCCCAGUAAAGUUGUUUUUGUGAUAUUUCUGUGUUGUUGAAUAAAGGACUUUAGUAUUCAAGAUAUCUCUCUUUUUCCAUAAACAGGUUUUGUUUGUGGGAUCCUAAGCAGUGAAAAUCUCUUUUAAAAAAGAAUCCUCAAAAUGAUGAAGAGGGUCCAAAAGCUGACCUCAAUCGCACGUUUGGGAAUGAAUGCUUAUGAAGUGGCGGUGCAAUAGCUACACAACUAAUUCCUUCUCAAUUGGCAGUCAUAGGAAACCCCAUAAGUUGUGUACCUGCAGGUGACGUUGUGCUCUGAAUUGUUUAAGAGAACAGAAAAAUAGUACCACCUUUGUAAGACUAGGAGUGUGAUGUUGAGUUGUAGAGACUGUGAAAGGUGGAGUUAGAAGGAAGACAGAUUGCAGAAAGGUCUUCAGCCCUUUGGUGCAGACCUCUGUUGUAUAAUGGAGUGGGAGUGAUGUGACGAGUUAGCGGUUUGUUUCAUAGGGAGGAGCGUACGAUGGUCAAAUCUCAUCUGUGACUCUUGCAGCACACUGUAGACCUGAGGGUGGAUUGUCACAUCAGUACUGGAGCAUUUGGGAUUGCAAACAUGGCUUGUGUGAGAGUGACAGCAAUAUCCUUCUCUUUGUUUUUCAGCCUUUCAGUUUGAAGUUCUGCUCUUUUUCCUGCUAUACCUAGGAAAUAGUUUCUCAUUUCCGUUUUCUUCCUUCGUGCUACAGACAGGUGCUAACAUCAUGCCAGUAGGUGGGAGAGUGUGUGGCUGAGUGGGUAGCAUGUCCCCUGACUGUCAUGAAGUUUGGAAUGUCAUUGCUCUGCCAUUACACCUCAUAUAAACAUAAUGUCAGCUCAGUGUGCCAGUGCAGGACUGUGAGAGGGGUGGAAAGAAGAGGUAUGUCCCCUGGGCUGCAAGGUUUCCUUCGAUGCCAGCUGAUUUUCUGGGAAACCUAGGUGUAUCCUUUUGGUUUUUAGAGAAAGCAAUAAAACCAAAAGGAACGGAGUUGGAUUUUCCCUUGAUCCCAUCUUCUCUCAUCAAAAUCCGUAAGGAUAUAUGCUCACAUGAGACCUAGACCGCUCAUUAGACAGCACCAGGGAUGAGCCUUGAGUUGUUUGAAGAGGAGGAAGAAAGGGGCUGCCAAGUUGCUUAGGCACAAUCAGUGAUGUCUCUGGAUUAGAUACAGAAUUCACAGGGAGGAAAUGUGCUAAUUUCAUGAGAUGGUCGAUUUGGAAGCAGGAAAAGGUCUCUGAGUUCCUAUUCCUUUAAUGCUUUCUCUUUCAACUUUUUUCCCCCAGGGUAUUGUUUUAUACUAGUCUGAAUGAAAAAUAUCCCUUAGCUCCAGAGAAAAACUCACCCCAGAUAUGAACCCUGCAGUUUAAAACUACCUCUAGCUUUUUAUAGCUUUUGUUUUUUAAUUAAAAAAAAAAAAUCUUUAAAAAAAACAACAAACUCAAAUAAAAAGUAGGUAAUUCUUCAAAGCCAAAACUUGACAAACUCAUUAGUGAAGCUAUUAAGAGGAAGGAAAAUAUCCUUUUGCGAGAAGCUUGAUUCUUCUAGGCUGUGAUGGACUCAAUUUGUUUUUGCCACUAGCCAUUUCAGCUCUCUCUGAUAUUUCUCCAAGGAACAAGUCUGAAAUUAUGAAUGGCCUAGUGGUACGAGGCAGCGUGCUUCCUGGGACAUCCAGUCCUCCCUGGAUUCCCAUGGGCUUUGCUAGGUAACUUGUGAAGUUGGAGGAACUUCACAAGGAUUAACUCGGUCACCAGCAUGUGUUGGGCAUGGGUAGAUGAACCAAAAACCUAAGAAACGCGUCAUCUCAGUAGGAAAUACAAUGAAGUUUGAGACCAUUGGACCUAUCUGAGGAAGGAAAGAUGAAGUUCAGUGUGAGCUUAGCUUUCAUAAUCUCUUCCUACCAUUGCCUUGAUUCUCUUUUCCAUUUGGCUUUUAGGAUAGAUGUGUUUGGCUGGGUAGCAGGGACCUGCAAAACGGCUGUUUUGCCUUAGAUAGUGAGAGUGAAGGAAAUGUGUGUAGUAAUCUUGUAACAAAAAAAGUCUGUGCCGCCUAAAGAAGCUGUCAUGUUCAGGAAAUAAGGGGUUCUAUUGUUCUAAGUAUUUGAACUAUAUGAAAGGGUUGUGGCAUUACUCAAUAAGCUGAAAUAGUUUGUAAUUCUACUACCCGUUCCUGGAAAAGGGGUUUUCAGACAUGAACCCCAAUGGGUUACUGGACUUAGAAGGUAGUUCUUACUCUAAGCUGACUGCUCCAUGAGAAGAUCUCGUAACUGGGGGUUCAGCAGUCUGUGUAAGCCAUCUUUGCCUUCCUGAGUGCAGGAUCUUUUCUAUAAAGCAGUCAGAAUCCUUGUGGGCAAAUUGUCAGAUGUUGCCAUGUCAAACAGAGCCCUGACUAAUUAUUCGGAGUGGUUUUCCCCAGCUCUGUUUAUAAUACGUAUAAGAAUCCUCCAGCUGAGAAGAAAACACCUUUAUUUCCUUAGUCCUCUACGUCUGCCCUUGUUACAGAGUUAAUAGCACUAGCCAUCUGCACAUCUUCAGGCAAAAUAAAUAAAUUGGAAGAAAUAGAGGACUGGUUUGCUAGCCUUUUUUUUGUGAGAGGAGAGAGAAAAGAGGUAGCCCAGGUCAGAAGCUCCUGUUGCUGGCCCACCUCUCCUAAUGUGGGUGCUCUCCUAUAUAGCCUGUUAUUACCUUUGGCAAUCAGAUGCAACCCUGAAGAAGACCAGCAUUAGGGUAAACAGGGUCUGGGAGAUAGGCAAACCUCCUGAUCCUUCUGAUUGCAGUGAAGGUGCUGGGGGGCUUGUAG